CAGCAGCCGCGGGAAUACGUAGGUGGCAAGCGUUGUCCGGAUUUAUUGGGCGUAAAGCGAGCGCAGGCGGUUUCUUAAGUCUGAUGUGAAAGCCCCCGGCUCAACCGGGGAGGGUCAUUGGAAACUGGGAGACUUGAGUGCAGAAGAGGAGAGUGGAAUUCCAUGUGUAGCGGUGAAAUGCGUAGAUAUAUGGAGGAACACCAGUGGCGAAGGCGGCUCUCUGGUCUGUAACUGACGCUGAGGCUCGAAAGCGUGGGGAGCGAACAGGAUUAGAUACCCCAGUAGUCCCUGUCUCUUAUAC
rnacentral:rRNA from 1 species